rnacentral:rRNA from 1 species
UAUCCGGGAUUUACUGGGCGUAAAGCGCGUGUAGGAGGCGCUACAAGUUGGAUGUGAAAGCUCCCGGCUUAACUGGGAGAGGUCGUUCAAGACUGUAGUGCUAGAGUGAGGCAGAGGUAGAUGGAACUCCGGGAGUAGUGGUGAAAUGCGUAGAUAUCCGGAAGAACACCAGAGGCGAAAGCGAUCUACUGGGCCUAAACUGACACUGAGACGCGAAAGCCAGGGUAGCAAACGGGAUUAGAGACCCCGGUAGUCCUGGCCGUAAACGAUGUAGACUGAGCGUUGGUUGGGUAAAACCAAUCAGUGCUGAAGCAAACGCGAUAAGUCUACCGCCUGGGGAGUACGGUCGCAAGAUUAAAACUCAAAGGAAUUGACGGGGGCCCGCACAAGCAGCGGAGCGUGUGGUUUAAUUCGAUGAUACACGAAGAACCUUACCAGGGUUUGACAUACAAGUGGUAGUGAAGCGAAAGCAGAACGACCCUUCGGGGAGCUUGAACAGGUGCUGCAUGGCUGUCGUCAGCUCGUUCCGUGAGGAGUGCCCUUAAGUGGGACAACGAGCGCAACCCCCAUCUUGUGUUAUAUAUGUCACAAGAAACGGUCCCGACUUUGUCGGGAAGGAAGGAGGGGCAGACGUCAAGUCAGCAUGGUCCUUAUACCUUGGGCUACACACAUGUUACAAUGAAGGAGACAAUGUGUUUUGCCACAACGCAAGUUGGAGCAAAUCACUUAAACUCAUUCUCAGUGGGGAUUGGGGUCUGCAACUCGACCCCAUGAACGCGGAAUUGGUAGUAAUCGUGGGUCAGUCAUACCACGGUGAAUACGUUCUUGCCUCUUGCACACACCGCCCGUAGAGUUUGAUCCUGGCUCAGCACACACCGCCCGU